rnacentral:rRNA from 1 species
UACAGAGGUCUCGAGCGUUAGGCGGAAUCACUGGGCUUAAAGCGCGUGUAGGCGGAUCGUUAAGUGCCUUGUGAAAUCCCACGGCUUAACCGUGGAACUGCUGGGCAUACUGGCGAUCUUGAGCCACCUAGGGGCCUGCGGAACAAGCGGUGGAGCGGUGAAAUGUGUAGAUAUAUGGAAGAACAUCAAUAACGGCGAAGGCAGUUAACUAUUCUGUUACUGACGUUGAGGCACGAAAGCGUGGGGAGCAAAACGG